CUCUCCAUAGUUCAAUUGGAUAGAACGAACCCCUCCUAAGGGUUAAAUGCUGGUUCAAUUCCGGCUGGAGAGGCCA
rnacentral:tRNA from 1 species